UAAACCCAGAGGGAAUAAUUCUGAGACCGAGCCAUCAAAUUUGGAAUACAUCCCAUAUCUGGACUCAAACACCAGGUUCUGGCUCUGACUCUGCUCUUCCUUGUUCAGAAGCACAAACCAAGGUAGAGCUUCAAGAUCCAGAGUCAUGGAGCAGUCCCUCCUUGAAUCCAGAUUGCACCAGGAUUAAAAUUCUCCAUUCCACAUUCGCCUUGAAGAGAGCUGGCUGGAAGACUCCAAGGUGGAGCCAGGGAAUGAACUAAAAACUAUGUGGACAACCAGAAGGUUCAAUACUCAACUGAGACUGCUGGUCCUCUUUUCCUGAGCAGCAAAGGGAGCCUUGAAGGUGGCCAGGGUCAUCACAGCAGACUGAAAACUGAUUUGAAGCCUCAGAGGAG